rnacentral:rRNA from 1 species
AACGAACGCUGGCGGCAGGCUUAACACAUGCAAGUCGAACGCACCUUUCGGGGUGAGUGGCAGACGGGUGAGUAACGCGUGGGAAUCUACCCUUCUCUACGGGAUAGCUCCGGGAAACUGGAAUUAAUACCGUAUACGUCCUGAGGGAGAAAGAUUUAUCGGGGAAGGAUGAGCCCGCGUUGGAUUAGCUAGUUGGUGGGGUAAAGGCCUACCAAGGCGACGAUCCAUAGCUGGUCUAAGAGGAUGAUCAGCCACAUUGGCACUGAGACACGGCCCAAACUCCUACGGGAGGCAGCAGUGGGGAAUAUUGGACAAUGGGCGCAAGCCUGAUCCAGCCAUGCCGCGUGAGUGAUGAAGGCCCUAGGGUUGUAAAGCUCUUUCAGGGGGGACGAUAAUGACGGUACCCACAGAAGAAGCCCCGGCUAACUUCGUG